GGCCAGGUAGCUCAGUCGGUACGAGCGUCCGCCUGAAAAGCGGAAGGUCGCCGGUUCGAUCCCGGCCCUGGCCACCU
rnacentral:tRNA from 1 species